rnacentral:rRNA from 1 species
UACGGGGGGGGCAAGCGUUGUUCGGAAUUACUGGGCGUAAAGGGCUCGUAGGCGGCCAACUAAGUCGGAUGUGAAAUCCCCAGGCUUAACCUGGGAACUGCAUCCGAUACUGGAUGGCUUGAAUCCGGGAGAGGGAUGCAGAAUUCCAGGUGUAGCGGUGAAAUGCGUAGAUAUCUGGAGGAACACCAAUGGCGAAGGCAGCUCGCUGGGACGUGACUGACGCUGAGACGCGAAAGCGUGGGGAGCAAACAGG